CAACCCUCUCCUCGAGAACAGACCCUUCUUUCGUUCAUCCUGGAGAGAAGAACAAGAGAAGAGGCACUUAUUCCGUUGAACAAGCGCCAUGUCAUCAACCAUCCGGGGCAGGCUCGCUCUUAUGCCUCGAUUAUACCGAGCCUUCGUGUUCUUCCACAGACUUUCUCAUUGGAUGGUAUGUUUUACGUCGGCAGGGGGAUAGCCGGAUAGGCGAUCCUUGAAAAUUAAUCGUCGGCAAGAUCGAUCUGUCUAUAAAUCUAAUAUCGAACAUUUUUUUGUAUUCUUCUUAAUUUUCAUUGUGUUUUUUCAUUGAUAUACGAAGGGGAAUAGGAGCACAGUCGUCGCCCAUCUGGUUGGUAUUUUUUCGUCGAUCCAUCAAACCGGUAAGGUUGAUCGAUGUAAUGAUAAUUUUUUAUUUUAGAUCUUACUUACAUCGAAGGACACUUUUUAUUUAUCAUAAGAUCUUAAUAGUUUUGGCGUUAUAUAUUCAUCUUACUCCCUCGCUUCCGUUUGCACAGCCAAAAAAAAUAUUUCCAAUCGAGGAAGAUGCUGAGUGGGAUCAAAUUUCAUGAGAGGCAAAACUGCCCAAUUAACUUGCUCUUAUUGUUUUUCUUUAAAAAGCCAGCCUAAUUGCAGUUUAUGCAUAGAGAAGGUUCUAUUUUCCUUCCAUACAUGCAUGAGUAGAUCUUACUUAUAUCAAUUUACUCGUUCCUAAGUAUAAGCCAUUUUAGAGAUUUUAAUAUGAACUACAUAUGAAGCAAAAUGAAUAAAUCUACACUCGUAUGUAGUCCUUAUUGAAAUCUCCAAAAUGCCAUAUAUUUAGAAACGAGGGAGAAGUAAAGUUUUUUCUUACAGAAAUCCUGUUCAGCGACCCUCCCCUGGAUGAGGGGUGGCAAACGAACCCCUUUUAAUGACUGCUGUUUCCAAGACACGAUAAAAUGGUGGCAGUACUAAAUGAAAAAUUCUGUGACAGAAAUUGCCUUGUCGCUCUAAAGAAACUAUUACCCACUCAUAACUAAGAAGGCCAGCAAUCGUAUUUUUUUUGCUUUAAAAAAAAAGAGGCCAGCAAUCGUUCGAAAAUACCACCCCAACUGGUGAACGUUCGUCACCUAAGGGGUCUUUUCUUAGGAGCACAUGUUGGGCUGCCAACCCAGCCCGCUGAUGGCCUGAUCCCACGCGUACGGCUGAUCGAAUCCACGGUUCGGCAUUUCCCUUAGAGAAGGCGAGAGAAAAUCCUCGCGGAAGGGUAUGCGACGGGCGAGACAACGCGCUCGCAACCUUCUCGACCCGCCGCCUCCCGCAGCUCCUCCACGCGCCGCCGUUCACCUUCCCCGGCCGGAAAGACCCAGUACGUACCUCCGCAUCAUCUGCUCGUCCCCGGUAAUAUAAGGUUGCUUCCCGUCCCAUUCCGCCCCGGUAAUCUAGGGUUUCUUGGCCGAGGAAUACUCCGCCAUGUAGCCGCGGUAAUCUCAGCCGAGGAAUACUCCGCAAUGUAGCCGCGGUAAUCUAGGGUUUCUUAUCGUAUGAGGAAUAACAGUUGUUUGUAGAGGAUGGCUGCAGGCCUCGUUGUCCAGGUUGAACGUGUGUGCUAUGUAGAUGUAGGGUGUUCCAUUGGUAUACUGCAUCUGAUCCUAUGAUUGUCUGCUAGCUUGAAUGAAUUGGUGCAGAUUCGAUGGAUCUCGUCCUACUAAGAUUAGUAAAUUGAUUUUGGAGAUGACCCUGUGAUUUAGGCUGUCUAUAUCUAUUAGCAGAGCAGCUUUUGCAAAACAGGGGAAGCACAAGGCUUUUCCAACCGAAAGAAAAAGAGUUGUUGAGCAUGUGUAGGUGUGUCUGUGUGCAUUGUUUCUGAUGCAGUGAUGGAGUAGUAACAACCUUUUGUGACUACUGAUGCAUGCAUGCACUGUUCCUAGCUUAUAGAAGAUCAAUGGAUCUUGGUUUGCAAAAGGUGCUCUAUUGGAUCAUGUAGGCUGUUAUAUUGAUAUACUGCAUCUCUAGAUUUUUAGUUGUUUUCUAGCUUGAAUGAGUCUUGUCCUGUGAAGAUUAGUAAAUUGAUUUUGCAGAUGAUCCUAUAAUGGUUUGAACCGCAUGAUCUUUAUACAAAUGUUUCUUCCUAUAGUUUAGUUUUUACUAAUGUUUCUUGCUAUAGUUUAAUUUUUGCUGCUAGUACUAAGGCAGGACUGUUUGGUGCAUUUCUGUCUUUAAAGUUAUGUGUAUGAUGUCUAAAAAUUUCCCUCCGAAUGGUGCAAUUUUUGGUGAAAGUUUGUAUUUUCCCUCUAAAGUCUCUUAUCUGUUUAUUUUUGAAUGAUUUAAACACCAGCGGCUGAUAUCUUGUAACUGAUCUUAACAGGGUAAUUGAAACGACAUCAAUAGCUUGCUGACAUGCGUCGUGAGUUUGAGCCUGUUCACAACGGUGCUGGAUAUUGCAUAGAUCCACGCGUUUGGCAUCGUGCACCUGUACACCGUGGUUAAUUGAGUACGCUGAAUGUGCAAGUGUGAGGCAUGCACAUGCACGUGGGAUGUGUUUUUCUCAAUAUCCACUAGUAUAAUCCGAACAUGAAGCUGACCGGAGCAUCCUCAUUCAUUGCUUAUGGCAUGUAUAUCUUUGAUGAUGGGCAUCAUGUAGACGAUGCAAUGCCCCUGGACGAAUACACAGACAUAUUUCCGAUGGUUAUUGAACUUAAUGGAGCCACAGUCAAAAAUGGUUAUUUGUGUGUUCCUGGUGAAGUUGACCCAGUGGUCAUCUAUGAACUUGCAUCUCCCCAGUGCAGGCUGCUCAUGAAGAGCAUGCUUAAGUCUCUUGAAAUAAAUGAUCUGGAUGGGGUGUGUUUUACUGCAUUUGACCGCAACAAUGUGGUUGUGACCGCAACAAUGUGGUUGUGACCUCAUUUGGUAAAAUCAAAUUGAGGAAUGUUACCAUUGUCCGCAACCUCAAAGGAGCUGCACUGCGACAAGCUCAAAGAAAUAACUAUCUGUCGGCCCUUCUAAUAUUUCAGAGCUUGUUCGAAGGUGAAGCUGUUCCAGAAGAUGUCCAGGACUUGUUUAAUAUCAUUGAAGAUCAGGACCAGUAUAAUCUGCAUCGGCCAAUGUUCCAUGUCCAUGGCGCUGUACUUCAAAUUCCAGAGUAUUCUGGUGUCUACAAAGACUUACAUGAGCAUAUACGUCUUGUGAUUGAAAAGCCAGAGAUGAGGAGCAUAUUACUGAAUCUGCCAUAUGUAGAUGAUUGGCUGCUUAGGAUUGCAAGCAAUUCCCUCCUCAUGACGACAUAUAACUACAACGUUAAGAGUUACAUUGUUCCAACGAGCAAUGCUAUUCAGACCUGCCUGAACAAGGACCAGAUUGCUUUGCUCACUGAACUACACUUAGUUAGAGCUAGUGGUCAAAAGGACUUCACUGCAGAACAGAAGCAACUUGUCAAGGCGCUUCAGUUCAUUGAUUUUCCGAGGAAUCGAAAUGCCCACAGGAUGGAGCCCUUUGUGUACUUUAGGUCUGAGGGUCAGUUCUACAAUUCUGAAGGAAGUGAAACAGUGUCAUAUCUUCGUUUACCCCUUCUGAUACCGGCCAUGCAGAAACAACUUCAAAGCAUUCGUAGGCUCCAUGAGGUGCAAGACGUCCGGCAUGAGGAUGAGGCAGGUGCAGGUGCUGGGGCAGGUGCUGGUGCUGGUCUUGUCGGUGUCGGUGAGCCUGGUGAUGGUGCUGGUGUUGUUGGUGUCGGUGAGCCUGGUGCUGGUGCUGAGGAUGAGUCUGAGUUGUAGUAUUUUUACUGCUCUAAACUUGGAACGCCCAAUGUAGUAGUGCUUUCAUUUCUUGCCUUCUAGAAUCGUGGCUGGUGUUGCUGGCGUUGUGGGUGAGCCUGGUGCUGAGGCUGAGUGGCUGGUGUUGAGUUGUAGGAAUUUGCUGCUCUAAACUUUUAUUGAAUGGAACUCCCAGUGUAGUGUUUCAAUCUUUAGUCUGCUAGAAUAUUGUAUACUACUUAUGUUGAUGCUAAUGAGGUACACUUGAGUAAAUUAAUUA